GAAAAAGUGGCUCCUUUAUCUCAGCUUCUCUGCGAGCUCCGGCGAAGUCUGGAUCCCAAAUCUAGCAGUUUUUCGCUAUUUGAAGGAAUAAAAGCGAUCGUUUUGAGGAUCAAAGCAUGGUAAAGUGAUUUGAUUAUUGAAGAAUUGGUUUUCAUUUAACAGUGGAGGAGUAUUUUGAUUCGGUUGAUAUCGUCUUUUCAGUCUGCACUCUUCAAUUUUCAUUCGUUU
rnacentral:misc_RNA from 1 species